rnacentral:rRNA from 1 species
GAUGAACGCUGGCGGCGUGCCUAAUACAUGCCAGUCGAGCGAACAGAUGAGGAGCUUGCUCCUCUGACGUUAGCGGCGGACGGGUGAGUAACACGUGGAUAACCUACCUAUAAGACUGGGAUAACUUCGGGAAACCGGAGCUAAUACCGGAUAAUAUAUUGAACCGCAUGGUUCAAUAGUGAAAGACGGUUUUGCUGUCACUUAUAGAUGGAUCCGCGCCGCAUUAGCUAGUUGGUAAGGUAACGGCUUACCAAGGCAACGAUGCGUAGCCGACCUGAGAGGGUGAUCGGCCACACUGGAACUGAGACACGGUCCAGACUCCUACGGGAGGCAGCAGUAGGGAAUCUUCCGCAAUGGGCGAAAGCCUGACGGAGCAACGCCGCGUGAGUGAUGAAGGUCUUCGGAUCGUAAAACUCUGUUAUUAGGGAAGAACAAAUGUGUAAGUAACUAUGCACGUCUUGACGGUACCUAAUCAGAAAGCCAUGGCUAACUACGUG